UACGAAGGGGGCUAGCGUUGCUCGGAAUACUGGGCGUAAAGCGUGCGCAGUCGGUUAUUUAAGUCGGAUGUGAAAUCCCCGGGCUCAACCUGGGAAUUGCAUUCGAUACUGGAUGGCUAGAGUUCGGCAGAGGGAAGUGGAAUUUCAGGUGUAGCGGUGAAAUGCGUAGAUAUCUGAAGGAACAUCAGUGGCGAAAGCGACUUCCUGGACCAGAACUGACGAUCAGGCACGAAAGCGUGGGGAGCAAACAGG
rnacentral:rRNA from 1 species